rnacentral:rRNA from 1 species
CAUGGAGUUGAUCCUGGCUCAGAUUGAACGCUGGCGGCAUGCUUUACACAUGCAAGUCGAACGGUAACAGGUUAAGCUGACGAGUGGCGAACGGGUGAGUAAUGCAUCGGAACGUGCCCGAUCGUGGGGAUAACGCAGCGAAAGCUGCGCUAAUACCGCAUACGAUCUGAGGAUGAAAGCGGGGGACCGUAAGGCCUCGCGCGAUCGGAGCGGCCGAUGUCAGAUUAGGUAGUUGGUGGGUAAAGGCUCACCAAGCCAACGAUCUGUAGCUGGUCUGAGACGGACGACCAGCCACGACGU